UGAAUUACUCAACACAGGCGUGAUAAAGAAAACUUGUGAAAUACAGAAAUAAGAGCUGAAAAGGGGAAACCAGUAGGCCCUGCAAAGUAAACAGUCAGUUUGAAAACCCGAUACCAGCAGUUCACAUUCAUUCCUCCGUUUGAUCGACAAGCUGGAGCAUAACUUAACCGGAAAAUAGGAACAGCAAGUGCGAGAGGAAAUACCACAAUGGCAGACACUGCGAGUCACAUCCACGACCGCUUCCAGACGUUUAUGAACGGCCUCGGCGAGCGUUAUGAGCCCUAUGUGCGCGAGCACCUGUCCAAGGUGUACAUGGUCCUGGGCAGCACUGCCGCCGCCACAGCCAUGGGAGCCCUUCUUCAGAUGCGCGACUUCCUCGACCUCGGAGUCCUGGCCGCGGUGGCCACCUUGAUCCUGGUCUUGGGCCUGCACUUCUACAAGGACGACGGCAAGAACUACUACACACGAUUGAGCAUGCUCUAUGCCUUCGGCUUCUGCUCCGGACAGACCCUGGGACCGCUGCUCGGCUACAUUUGCAGCAUCAAUCCGGCCAUCAUCCUGUCGGCCCUCACCGGCACCUUCGUCACCUUCAUCUCGCUGUCCCUGGCCGCUCUGCUGGCCGAGCAGGGCAAGUACCUCUACCUGGGCGGCAUGCUGGUCAGCGUCAUAAACACCAUGGCCCUCCUAAGUCUUUUCAACAUGGUCUUCAAGUCCUAUUUCGUCCAAGUGACCCAACUCUAUGUAGGCGUUUUCGUGAUGGCUGCCUUCAUCGUCUACGACACGCAGAACAUUGUGGAGAAGUGCCGGAACGGAAACCGGGAUGUGGUGCAGCAUGCUCUGGAUCUGUUCUUCGAUGUGCUCAGCAUGUUCCGCCGUUUGCUGAUCAUCCUGACGCAAAAGCUCAAGACCUUCAUGGUUUAGGCGAUUCAUGCCGCACCGAAUCAGAUCAGAUAAUCCUCGAACAGUGGCUGGUCACUUUGCAAAAGCUUUCCAAUUUCAAAUUCGCUGUGAAAAUCCAUUUCAAACGGAGGAGCGAAAACAGAAUGAACGUCGCAAGAGAAACUAAAUCAAGCUCUGAUAACAAUACCAACCCCCAACACAACAUCUGACAAGGAAACGGGAGGUUGACAGUUUCUCGUUCUAAAAAUUUAUUAGCUUACAAAAUAAACAAUGCCGUGUACAUUUGGCUUUAAGUUCACAUACAAAUGUUCGAUACAAAACCCAGGCAAAUUCCCCAUUUAAUAAAAACCACAAAAAGACA